CCGAGUUUACAACUCCCAAACCCAAUGUGAACGUUACCAAACUGUUGCCUCGGCGGGAUCUCUGCCCCGGGUGCGUCGCAGCCCCGGACCAAGGCGCCCGCCGGAGGACCCAAACUCUUGCUUUAAACAGUGGCAUACUCUCUGAGUCUCACAAACAAAAAAUGAAUCA
rnacentral:misc_RNA from 1 species